UAAAAAAAAAGAGAGAGAGAAUAUAUGCAAGCAUUUCUUAGUCCUUGAGUAUUUUUGUGCCUGGCAAGUCAGUUCCUGUUCUCCACCCUUCCUAAGUGGCAAUGACAUAGACCAAAAGUCUUCUGGCUCCUUGGAACGGCAGCACCGGGGUGGCCUCUCAGCCAGAAGUCCUCAUUCCUAUGCAGUCACUGAUCAGACCAUGUCACCUAGAACUGGAUGAAGACCUCCACUUGAGUUGAGGGUCUGACCAAGAGGGUUCGGUUGUCCUGGUGCAUCCAGACUUCCAAGUCUUGUGACUUCUCCCAUACACCUGUCAUCCAACCCUUGUAGGCCCAGUUUAUGCACCUCACAAGGGACAGACCUCCCUGGCUGUGGUUCAUACUUGCCAGGAUGACAAGCUGUGGUAAAGGUCUCUCUAAGGAGGGCUAGAGUGAGGUGCCUUAGCUUACUGACCUUACUUGAAAGUGCUGCCUGUUCUUCUGCACCACACUGGCCUAUGCAGCAAGCCCUCAACAUGAUAAGGACUGGGGACUGAAGGGCCAUGUUUGGGGGUGUACAGAGCUGCCACCCCCACCAAUGCUGGCUUUAUCCCUAUCCUGAAUGGAUUAAAUCCUGGGUUCCUUGAGACCCCCCUAGAGAUAGAUUAGCCUCUGCUUCUUGAGUGCUGGGAUUAAUGGCUUGUACCUCCACACCUGGCUUAAAACUUUUUAAAAAAUAUUAAUGGCAUGGUAACUUUCCUGUCUAUACUUGGGAGGUGAAGAUGGAGGUGAUGGUUCCUACUUCAUUGAUUUCCCAGAGGCAACACAUCAGUGGCUCUGGUCAUCAAGGUCACAGGUAACACCAUUUCCUCUACUAACUGCUAGGGACAGGUUUGAAGGGAGGAGCCAAGCACAGAACACAUCUGUAUUUGUCGAACCAGACCUUUUGACAGAUGUGUGACCUAGGUUUGGUUGUUGGGACAGUGGUCCUAUGAACAGCCUCCAGACCUGAUCACGGUCUUCCCCACCACCCCAGGGAAGCCAAAGCUUGCCCCAGGCAGUAGUAAGGAUUGUAAAUGCUGGCUGUAACAAACACCUCCAUGCACUGAGUCAGCCUGAAUGCUGUUGAGGGUAAGAGUGGUCCUCGCCAUGAGUCAUGUCAGCCUGAAGACCUUGGAUUGUUUCCAAAAAGUGGUCAGUUUUCUGAUCCUCAAUGUGUAAGUUACACUAGUGCAGGGUAUGGGGAUUGGGGCAGUUGCUACUUGUAUUUAUUGUGACUGAACCUUUGACAGUACAUGUUUUUUUAAAGUGCCACCAAACUGGAAUAGAUGUUCCAAUAAAUGAGCUGAAAUUGGUAGUCACUGUGUCAUGGGGAAGUCUGAAACCCUGAAGGACAAUAAAGAAAUGGACCAAAUGUC
rnacentral:lncRNA from 1 species